rnacentral:rRNA from 1 species
UACGUAGGGCGCAAGCGUUGUCCGGAAUUAUUGGGCGUAAAGAGCUCGUAGGCGGCUUGUCACGUCGGGUGUGAAAGCUCGGGGCUUAACCCCGGGUCUGCAUUCGAUACGGGCUGGCUGGAGUGUGGUAGGGGAGAUCGGAAUUCCUGGUGUAGCGGUGAAAUGCGCAGAUAUCAGGAGGAACACCGGUGGCGAAGGCGGCUACCUGGACCGGUUCUGACGCUGAGGCGCGAAAGCGUGGGUAGCAAACGAGGA